rnacentral:tRNA from 1 species
GGGAAGCUGGCUCAGUGGUAGAGUGCUUGCCUUGCAUGCAUGAGGCCCUGGGUUUGAUUCCCCAGCACCACA